rnacentral:rRNA from 1 species
GAUGAACGCUGGCGACGUGCCUAAUACAUGCAAGUCGAGCGAACAGACGAGGAGCUUGCUCCUCUGACGUUAGCGGCGGACGGGUGAGUAACACGUGGAUAACCUACCUAUAAGACUGGGAUAACUUCGGGAAACCGGAGCUAAUACCGGAUAAUAUAUUGAACCGCAUGGUUCAAUAGUUAAAGACGGUUUUGCUGUCACUUAUAGAUUGAUCCGCGCCGCAUUAGCUAGUUGGUAAGGUAACGGCCUACCAAGGCAACGAUGCGUAGCCGACCUGAGAGGGUGAUCGGACACACUGGAACUGAGAAACGGUACAGACUCCGACGGGAGGCAGCAGUAGGGAAUCUUCCGCAAUGGGCGAAAGCCUGACGGAGCAAAGCCGCGGGAGUGAUGAAGGUCUUCGGAUCGGAAAACGAUGUUAUUAGGGAAGAACAAAUGUGUAAGUAACUAUGAACGUCUUGACGGUACCUAAUCAGAAAGCCACGGCUAACUACGUG